UACGUAGGGCGCAAGCGUUGUCCGGAAUUAUUGGGCGUAAAGAGCUCGUAGGCGGCCUGUUGCGUCCGCUGUGAAAUCCCGGGGCUCAACCCCGGGCCUGCAGUGGAUACGGGCUGGCUAGAGGCAGGCAGGGGAGAACGGAAUUCCUGGUGUAGCGGUGAAGUGCGCAGAUAUCAGGAGGAACACCGGUGGCGAAGGCGGUUCUCUGGGCCUGUACUGACGCUGAGGAGCGAAAGCGUGGGGAGCGAACAGG
rnacentral:rRNA from 1 species